rnacentral:rRNA from 1 species
GCGUAGGUGAUGGACAACAGGUUGAUAUUCCUGUACUACCGAUAACCGUUUGAGAGAAGGGAUGACACAGUAGGAUAAGCUAAGCACACUGUUGGUUAUGUGUGCCCAAGCAUUGAGGCAGUCAAAGUAGGCAAAUCCGCUUUGAUAAUGCUGGGAUGUGAUGGGGAGCGAAAUUUAGUAGCGAAGUAGCUGAUUUCACACUGUCAAGAAAAGUCUCUAUCGAGGUUAAAGGUACCCGUACCGCAAACCGACACAGGUGGGUGAGGAGAGUAUCCUAAGGCCAGCGAGAGAACUGUUGUUAAGGAACUCGGCAAAAUGACCCCGUAACUUAGGGAUAAGGGGUGCCACCAUCAGGUGGCCGCAGAGAAUAGGCCCAAGCGACUGUUUACCAAAAACAUAGGUUUCUGCUAAGUCGCAAGACGAUGUAUAGGAGCUGACGCCUGCCCGGUGCUGGAAGGUUAAGGGGAUCUGUUAGAGCAAUCGAAGCAGUGAACUUAAGCCCCAGUAAACGGCGGCCGUAACUAUAACGGUCCUAAGGUAGCGAAAUUCCUUGUCGGGUAAGUUCCGACCCGCACGAAAGGCGUAACGAUUUGGGCACUGUCUCAACAACAGACUCGGUGAAAUUGUAAUUCCGGUGAAGAUGCCGGAUACCUGCGACAGGACGGAAAGACCCCAUGGAGCUUUACUGUAGCUUGACAUUGGGUCUUGGUACUACAUGUACAGGAUAGGUGGGAGGCUUUGAAACCAGGACGCCAGUUUUGGCGGAGCCAUCCUUGGGAUACCACCCUUGUAGUACUGGGACUCUAACCAUAGGCCAUGAAUCUGGUCUUGGGACACUGUCAGGUGGGCAGUUUGACUGGGGCGGUCGCCUCCCAAAAGGUAACGGAGGCGCUCAAAGGUUCUCUCAGUACGGUCGGAAAUCGUACGUAGAGUGUAAAGGCAAAAGAGAGC